CACCAGGUUGAUUCUGCCUGACGUAGAUGCUAUUUUCUGAGAUUAAGCCAUGCAUGUUUCUGCUCAAAGGACAAAUAGCUCAGUAAAACUAGGCGCUCUAACCUCGGCAUCUUCUAACUUUGGGAAACUAAGGCUAACGGCUGAGGAUGAGGCCUAGCACUAUCAGCUUGUAGGUAGUGUAAUGGACUACCUAGGCGGUAACGGUUAACGGGAUACGAGAGUGUGAUACCGGAGAGGGAGCCUGAGAGAUUGCUCCCACAUCCAAGGAUGGCAGCAGGCGCGAAAAUUGUCCACUCUUACAGGAGACAGUUAUGAAAAGUAAAAACGGUAGGUCUUUUAAAGAAAGAUUCUAAAAUUGGAGGGCAAGUUUGGUGCCAGCAGCCGCGGUAAUACCAACUCCAAGAGUGUGUAUGAGAGUUGUUGCAGUUAAAAGGUCCGUAGUCGUUCAUUGAAACAAGGCGCAGCCUGGAUUUAAUGUGGAGGGGCUGAUGGGGACCAUAGUAUACAGUGGCGAGAGAUGAAAUGUCUAAACCCUCUGUGGACUCAGCGAGGCGAAAGCGGUGGUCUAGUAAGUGCUCGGUGAUCAAGGACGAAGGGUAGAGGAGCGAAAGUGAUUAGAUACCGCUGUAGUUUUACCAGUAAAAGAUGCCGACUAUCCUGGCGCGCGCGGGCGCAAGCGAUGCGCGGGCUGGGAAUAGAGAAAUCGAUAAGUGUUCGGGCUCUGGGGAUAGUAUGCUCGCAAGAGUGAAAAUUAAAGAAAUU
rnacentral:rRNA from 1 species